UACGGGGGGAGCAAGCGUUGUUCGGAUUUACUGGGCGUAAAGGGCGCGUAGGCGGCCACCGCAAGUCGGUUGUGAAAUCUCUGGGCUUAACCCAGAAAGGUCAACCGAUACUGCGGGGCUAGAGUGCAGAAGGGGCAACUGGAAUUCUCGGUGUAGCGGUGAAAUGCGUAGGUAUCGAGAGGAACACCUGCGGCGAAGGCGGGUUGCUGGGCUGACACUGACGCUGAAGCGCGAAAGCUAGGGGAGCGAACGGG
rnacentral:rRNA from 1 species